rnacentral:rRNA from 1 species
UACGUAGGGUGCAGGCGUUAAUCGGAAUUACUGGGCGUAAAGCGUGCGCAGGCGGUUUGCUAAGACAGGUGUGAAAUCCCCGGGCUUAACCUGGGAACUGCGCUUGUAACUGGCAAGCUAGAGUGUGGCAGAGGGGGGUGGAAUUCCACGUGUAGCAGUGAAAUGCGUAGAGAUGUGGAGGAACACCGAUGGCGAAGGCAGCCCCCUGGGCUAACACUGGCGCUCAUGCACGAAAGCGUGGGGAGCAAACAGG